CGCCGACAACCCUCUGCCGUACUGGCUCUUGGGAAAUGAUAACCACGGGGCCGACUCCAAGAAGCCUCCCCUGCUUCGUCCUAUGGGGCUUUCCAAGAUCAAUCCCAAGGAGCUACAUGUGUACAAGCUUACAGUUGAAUAUCGGACUGGUGAUACAGAAACGGAUCAAAUGAAUGAGAGACUGGUAGCACUGUACAAUACCCUCGGAGACAAAAGAGUAGAACUAUAUGAGAAGGCUUCUGAUGAUACACCAUCACGAAAAGACCAUCUUGACUACAGAAAGGAGAAAGAACAUCUGAUGAGGAUGAUUGGGGAUCUUCAAGAGGCCAUCAAGGACUGCAACGCACAGCCGUACCCCUUCCCCAAAAUAUUUGCCACUGAUCCUCCUAUCUAGGGGCAGCAGUUUUUUGUCAGAUUGGUUUCUGCAGAGAAUAGGAGCUGGGGCACUGAAUUGGUGGAAAGUCGGGACCCCAUGUUCCUUCGGUUGGUACAGGUGUCUAUAUGGGUAUAUGCAUGGUUGGUACAGAAAGUCGGGAUCACACACGAAACAUGUAAAAAUGACUAGUCUGAAAGUUGUUGUUGUUGUUUUUUUUCCUCCCGCUAUAGUCAACCUGAAG